GUGGGAGCACAGGUUUACCUGUGUGACUGCGUACCUUUUGUAUAAUGGGUCAGCGACUUAUAUUCUGUAGCAAGGUUAACCGAAUAGGGGAGCCGGAGGGAAACCGAGUCUUAAUUGGGCGUUAAGUUGCAGGGUAUAGACCCGAAACCCGGUGAUCUAGCCAUGGGCAGGUUGAAGGUUGGGUAACACUAACUGGAGGACCGAACCGACUAAUGUUGAAAAAUUAGCGGAUGACCUGUGGCUGGGGGUGAAAGGCCAAUCAAACCGGGAGAUAGCUGGUUCUCCCCGAAAGCUAUUUAGGUAGCGCCUCGUGAAUUCAUCUCCGGGGGUAGAGCACUGUUUCGGCUAGGGGGCCAUCCCGGCUUACCAACCCGAUGCAAACUGCGAAUACCGGAGAAUGUUAUCACGGGAGACACACGGCGGGUGCUAACGUCCGUCGUGAAGAGGGAAACAACCCAGACCGCCAGCUAAGGUCCCAAAGUCAUGGUUAAGUGGGAAACGAUGUGGGAAGGCCCAGACAGCCAGGAUGUUGGCUUAGAAGCAGCCAUCAUUUAAAGAAAGCGUAAUAGCUCACUGGUCGAGUCGGCCUGCGCGGAAGAUGUAACGGGGCUAAACCAUGCACCGAAGCUGCGGCAGCGAACGUAUCACCCAAGACAACUUUGCGGAGUUGACGAUUGACGGAGCGAAGCGACGUCAAAGCGUUCAUUAAAGUCGAGUUGGCUUAGGGAUACGUUCGUUGGGUAGGGGAGCGUUCUGUAAGCC
rnacentral:rRNA from 1 species